rnacentral:misc_RNA from 1 species
GCCAUGUGCUUGCAAGAACAAGCAGCCACGAGACCUCUAAUAGGCGAUGUGGUGACUGCACUCACGUACUUAGCUUCCCAAACAUAUGACCCUAAUGCUGCCAAUCAAAGUAACAGAGUUGGGCCAUCUACUCCUAGGAACAGGGACGAUCCGAGGGGGAUGGCAGAUGGGGUGGAUAGCCCAGAUGAGCACGGACGUGGUGGGCGGCAUGGCUCUCCUUCUACUCAUAAAAAUUCACCUGAUUAUAGAAGGCGUGA